CUGCAUCGGCAGGCGGACUCUCAACCACUGCGCCACCAGGGAAGCCCAAGAACUGCUUUUUUAAAAAAAAUUCAAAGUGUUACUAAGUACCAUAGUCCUUUGUCUUUGGAAAUACUGUGGCUUUUGGGGUCACUGGCUGUUUGUCAUAUACCAAUCGAGGACACGAUUCAUCAGCUGUGGACAUUCUUUGCAUUCUUAGUGUUGUUCAUGGUUGUUUCUUUACCUCAUGGGCUCUAUGACACCUUUCACUAAAAUAAGCCCUCGAGUUUGUGAUUACUGUGCAUCAGGUCAUUGGGUUGGUGGCUGGCCUUCCAGCUGUCCUCCAGCCUGAGCUCAUGAGAAAGCAGUCACAGUUGUCAGUGUCACAGUGCUGUUCUGUUAGAUUAAAUCCAAAAAAACUGGCUGUAUCCAAAAAACUUCUGGUAUAAGAUUUAUAUUUUUUUCUGUUUUGAAUUAAUGAAGCAGAAGCACAAGCUGUGAGCAAUGUCUAUAAACAGCCUUGGUUCUUCUAUGAGGAAUGUCCUCAGUGUUAGCACCUGCAAGAAGAUAGCGUGUGUCAGAUUAAUUUUAUAACAUUAGCGUUUGUACAGAAUAAUGGCAGGAAGACAAACUGGGUUGUACUCCUUAUUGGUUAUUAUUAGCUGAUGAUAUUCCUAUGAAGCCUUGAGUAUUGGGUUAAAUCACAUGAAAUUGCUAUUUGCGUAGGCAAUUUUAUAUGGCUCUAGGAGAUAAGAUAUAUUUUAAUUAGUUCUCUCUACAUAAUUGUGAGUCUGCCACAAAUAUUUUAAAUUAAUACGUAUAAUUUAAAAAUUAGAACAUGAAAGGCAAGAUUUGUUUGUUCUCAUUCUUGCUGUUUUUACUCUGUCAUUGCUCUCUUGCUCUCAAGGAAAUGGAGUGGCUGCCUAAAAGAGUAUCCUGACGUUUGCCAUUCUGUAGCCCCUUGAGAGUUUCAUCGGUGCAGAAAAGGAGCUCUGGCAACUUCUGCUGAGACUUUUCCAUAGGAAAUCCUUCCCAAAAAAAAGCAACAGCUAUUUUGAAGACCAACUUUCCAAAAAUUAUAUUCAGGAUUAAGCGGCUGUAACAUUGCCAUUCGUCGCUGAGGCUCCUGGUUUCAGCAUGUCUGCUUGGUUCCCAGCCAGUCCUGGGUGUUCAGGUAGCAGCUGUGGCUGGGAGUGCCUCUCCAGCCCGCAUUCCUUGGCUGUGAAUUUUGCAGCCCUGUUUAUCUAAUGAAGAUCUCCCCAUAGUGAGUUGCUCAUGACGUUGUCACACAGAUGUUAAUGAAUGGUAUGGAAAGAUACUGAUUCUUUUUCCUCGUUGAAUGCCAGCCAAUCCUGAAUCUCCCAGUCCUUUCACUCUGACUGAUCACCACAAAGGCCUGGUGCUAAGAUCUGAUGAGAUCUGUCCUACAUAAACCAAACUCCAACAGGAUGCCUAUACAUCCUCUCUGUGAGGCUAUCAUCCAAACCUGUUCAGAGAAUUUUUCUACAAUUACGUUCACCCAAACACUGACUCUCACUACUCUGCCCUGAUCAUACUUUUAAUCUAUAAAUGCCGUCACUGACUUCAGUGCCCAAAGACUUUCUUCCUUCUCUUGAAACUCAUGAAUUUACUUAGGAUAGCUUGGGAUGGCUUUAGAGUCUGGCUUUCUCACUAUUUCACGUAUCUUCAUUUUGCCUUCCCAAGCCGGACUGUGAAUUCCUUGAGAGAGGAGCUCCUGAAAACUGGUAACACCUUAUAUAGACAGAUAGGCAGGAAAAAAAAUUUUGGACAGAAAAACAUUUGUUGUUCUUAAUCAUCCAGAAAAUUUGCCUUAAUAUGUUCAGAACACUCUAGAUGAUGUGCUGUAGUAUAGGACUCCUCUCCUUUCCCCUGCCUGCCCUCUGCUGGAACGGCUCACGAGCAAUAAGAUGGCCAGAGCAGGAUAUCGUAUGGGGAAUGUGGGAAAACAAGGGGCUUGUCUGGCUGAAAGGCUAGCGGAAUAACUGUGAUUUGUGAGUCUACAACCUAGAUCUUUGACGCUCCCCAUUAUGUGCCUUGGGAUAACUAGCAGCCUCCUUACAAGACCCCUAAUGGGUUCAACCUUGCACAGGGAUGUGAUUCUCCCUGCUGACAUGAGAUGGACCGAGUGACCUUGUGUGUCCUCCUCAUCUGCUGUGCUUGUUUCAUCUCCAGAACCACCCAAUAGAUGGCAGGUAGCUGAGCCAGGUAGUGCCCCCUCCCAAACACAGAGGCCCUCCCUGUUCACCAGCCCCUCAAAGCCUUUACCACCUUCACAUUUAACAGGCAUUUACAAGGAUCUGGCAAGACUACCAGUUUGGUAAUGCAAUUCAGGAGGUGAGUUUGAAAUUCUAGACUGGUUUCCUGUUUCGAAGGGCAGCAGGAUAUGACAGCUGCUGAGGCAGCCCAUUUGCCCUUUGGAGAGGAGAAGCGAGAGUGUCUGAUCACUAGGCGACCUCUUCCUCCUGCUGGCCCAGGCGAGGUGUGGGCAGUCCCCUUCCCUCUCCCGCCGUUACUCAGGUGGCUAGAUGUUAGGAAAAAAGAGAAGGAAAAACAUGUUUUUGCUUUUUAAAAAUUAUUAUUAAAAGGGGGCACUUUCUGGGGGGGCAGAAUCCAUUAGCUGAAUCCAUUUCAGUAUCAAUGGUUAAUCAAUUUAGGCAGCUUUAAUGCACUUUUAUUAUGUAGCCUUUAAAAUCUGUUCUGGUCCGUCCCAUAAAUACUAGCACUACUUUAUAUGUAUGAUAUCUCUUUUGGAAGGGUGAAUCUGAAUUGUCAUCCAGAUAUUAAUUUGCAUACAAUGCUGUCCAGGCAAUGCAAAAAUGCUUCCUCAUAGUUUGAGCAUUGUUCAAUACAUUUUGAAGUGGGGAAAAACUUUUCAGAUAUGACUCUACAUUUUAAGUCAGUGGAUAAAUCAGUCCGGUUGCCUCCCAAAACAUAAUUUUGAAAAUCAAUUUUACCGUACUACGAACUGAAUAAUUGAUUUCCGCAUUUCAUUCUGUAAAUUAAACACUAGGUUUUGAAUUACUAGAAGAAAUAGUACAGUUAGCCAAUAAACCUUUCUUAUAAAAUGACAGCAUUUUAAUUUAUUAUAUGCAUUAGCAUUUAUUCAUGCCUAAGAUUUCAUCAAUCAAUUUUCUAUUUAAAAAAGAUGUCUCUGGAAACAGCAGUGGAGAAAUGCUGAGUUCCAAAAGCAAUGUUGUGAAAGGCAGCAGGGCCAGCGUUCUGGGCACACAUUGAACUAAAUUAUAGUCAAUAACUACGCGGCUCCAAGUAUAAGCCCACAUUUUUUUAAGUAUCUACCUUAUGAACUGACUCUCUUGGAAUGUCAGAGUUUAAAAAAGAAAAUAUUUAAUUUUCACUAUUUAAGAGGUGGGCUGUAUUUGUUCAAAAUUAUAGCAACCUCUGAUAUUAUUUUAAAAUAUUUAUUUUGACAGACUUCUUAUGCACUGCUCUUGAGUUUUACUUCUGUGUACAGUGGUGCAUUUCAAUAGUUGGCUUCAGAUUAAAUGAAUAUUAGUACUUUGUGAUGAUUUUAUUAAUUAGUUGUUUUUGAAAACUAUUUUAAGCUGAGCAUUACUCCAAAAUAGAAGCUCUAAGAAUCAGUACCAUCAGAUAGGUGUUAAUUUAAAAUCAUUUAUUCACUUCAUUCACUUUAAAAAAUUGUAUUUAACACAUAUCAGGACUGAGCUGUCCACAGGCAAGAUAGGCAUAGCACCUGGCAUAGCAAUAGUUUUAGGGACCUGUGCAAAUGUUUUAAUUUCCUUUAAAACCAAAAGAAAAGAUAAACUCUUAGGUCAAAGAAAAUAUUAAAAUAUAUAAUACUAAUAUAAUCAUCUUUAUACCAAGGUAUAAAGUACAAUUUUUAAUAUUUUUAUGGAGGAAGAGGUCCAUGAAAACUAAAGUUCCUAGGACCCAUGAAAAUUAUAAUGUAACCUAGGCCAUAUUUCACCUAUGUUAGAUUCUAGAGAUAAAAAGAUAAGUAAGACACAAUUUCUGUUCCCAAAGCAUUCACAGUCUAAUGAAGAAAAUGGACAUAAAACAGGUAGUUCAUAAUGUGGUUUCCUUGAAGUUAUUUGAAAUAGUAAUUAUAGCUUGAAGAACACAAGAGUUUUACUACAAAAUGUCAUUCAAUACAUAGACUCGGUGUUUUCCUUCUUUUAGUUAAACUUUACAAAAAUAGGACUUGCAUAUAUUUUAGUGGUACAUAGACAGCAUUACUACAUAUUUUUUCCAGACACUACUGAUGUCAGCAUUCAGAUCUGUGAGUCAAAAUGUUCAUAUCUUAUAAGCACACUUCAUCAACAGGACCACAAAGGAAUGCCAGGUCCUAGGUAUUGAUGGUUCCAUGGGGAAAAUGAGAAGAGGUUCGGUUCUCCCUAGCUUAGCAAAGCUUGCUUACUUAUGUCCUUCUGAGUUUUAUUGAGCCUUCAGACGUGGAACAGAAUCUUGGCUGUACUUUCUCUCUUCAUAAAAUUUCUCAUUUAUAUGAGAUUCAGCACUCGUUUUCUUCAAUUACUGUUUCUAAAUGCCAUAAUUGAGGUAGUCAGAAUAUUCUCCUUAACCUAAAUCUUCCUUGCUAAUAUUUGGGCCUACUUCCACAUUUUUUAUCAAUUGGAGAAUGAUUUUUCACCAUUUUCAAUUUUACUUGCAUUAUCUUAUCACACACAUAAGCUUUUUGAAUAAGCAAGGCAUCAUAGGACAUUGGAAAGAAUACAGGCUCAGACUAACCUGGGUAGGAAUCAGAAUUAUGUCAUUCAAGCUGUAUGACCUUGGUCAAUUCAUUUAAACUCAUUGCAUCUCAGCAUCCUCAUCUAUAAAAUGGGGAUCAUUAUGCAUGUGGUAGAAAAUUGCUGUAGGAAUUAGAAUAAUAUAUGUUUAACAUUAGGCCAGUAUCUGGAAUAUAGGGGAUGUUUAAAAAAUAGCUGCGGUUAUUAUUUGCCAUAUUUUGCAAAUUAAGAAACUGAAACACAGACGUAUUAAAUGACCUUUGCCAGUACUGUGGGGUUAGGGCACCCAAUUAUUACCGGAAAAUUGCAGCCUUACUUUUGAUCAAGCCUUAUUAAGAAUGAAGUUGUAGAACACGGAGAAAGUGCAGAAGCAAAAGGUACAGAAAAAGCACUGACAUCAAAGCAACCAGAUAAUCAAUAUAUAUUUAUUGAACACAUUGUAAGUAUAAGAUAUUCUGUGCACAAGUUGGGCCACUUUGGUUUGCCAAUGACUGAAUCCUAACUUGCUCAAACGAAAAGGAGAACUUGUUGGCUGGUAUAAUCCAAACACAUGAUGUAGGGAACUGGUCCUGGGGGUGUCUGGAUUCUGUGGCAGGAACACUUUCAGAGCUCACACUCUAUUUCUAACCAGGGUGUCUGGUGCUCUUUGCAGAUGGCUUUCUCCAUGCCAUGGGGCACAUGGCUCCUAUCAACCUUGUUCUCUCAUCUCAUCCUAGCAGCUCUUCUAUCAGCAAAGAAAGAUUUUUUUCCUCUUUGGCUCCAGUCUGAAAACAAUCCCAAGAAUGACUUUCGUGGGGCUAACUUAGGUCAUAUAUUCCUUCCCAAACCAUUCACAACCAGGAAGAUAGGGUAAUAUGAUUGGUCCAAUUGAGGGCACAUAUCUGCCAUUUUCAUUAGAAUUUUUUUCCUGUGGAAAAAGGUGCAUUGGGCACACCAAAAUAGUAACCUUUAUCUUCUAUCAGAGGUAAUAGAGUAAUUAAUAUUUUAAUGGUAGAGUUGGUUCAAAGAGCCAAAAGACUACAAUCUCAGGAUGUCUAGCUAAGAUAUUGCAAGGCCUGAAUGGACAUGUCCAUUCUUUUCAGCCAAGAAAGGAAGCCUAUCAUACUUUUGUCUCCCAGUAUGUUGGCUCAUAGAGUUAAAAACUUAAAUUUAUUUCUUAGUAUACAUACUUUUUAAUGGAGAAAGUUAUAAACACUUGGGUACUAUCUUAGAAAAAGCAGAACCUCUAAAGAGGGUGAUUGAAGGUGACAUCGCUGUUGUUUGAAAAACUUCAGGAUGUCAUGUCCUGUGGGAAUGCAUUAUUCUAACAAUUUGCUUAAUAUUUUUGCUUCCUGUAGAGUUGGCUGUGGGUGGGAACUCAAAGCAGACUUGUAAAUUGAAUUCAUAGUGGAUGAGCUUGUCUUGAAGUCUUUGCUGGGUUGUUUAAGACACUGAGCUGUUUGUUCUUGGCUCCAGUACUUUCAAUGUCCACUCACCAUUGUGUUAGUGGGAGGACUAUUGUAUUGUAUAAGAGAUCUGGAGAGCUUGUGACUGAGUAGAGUCAGUGUUUUGACUUUUUAUGCCAACAUUAUCAUUUCCCCACUUGUUUCACAUUUCUCCUGUCAGUUGGGCCCUCAAUUCAAGGUUACCUUGAUUACUUUCAGGUCUUGAGUCAUGAAUCUCUCUAAAUUAUUUUUACCUUGCAAAUGUUCUUUCACCAACUCACUUUUUCUUCCUUCUGUUUCAAAAUUAGAGGUAUCCCUACCCUUUUCCAGCACUAAAUUCUUCCCUCUUUCACCUCCUUAGAAAACUAACUCCAUCCAUUACUUCAUCUUCUAUUUGUAUCUCCAAUUAUUCCUCUCUGAUGCAUCUCUCCCCACUUAUCUACCUACAAGACUAUCUCCUUGAGAUAUCGUCAAAAGGGAUAAUGUAUGUGGAAUUACAUGGUUGCCCUAAAGUGGAAUAUAACUAUGAUGCAAUAUCACUGCUAUCCUUUCUCCAUUACCCCACAAUCAUCUAAAAAAAGUCAAUAUAAAGUAUUUCUUGACUUUAAUUUCUCACUAUUCAAUUCAUUAUUUAAUAUCUUAAAAUCUGACCUCAUUCUCCUAACUUACUGUCCCGGGGUUCAUAUCACUGCUUGUCUUUCCUCUAGCAUGUGACACAGUUGACUAGGCCCUCCUCUGGUUUGUAUAACCUCACUACCUUGAUUUACUUUCUCUCUCUCUGACCACUCAUAUUUUAACAAUCAUCUUUUUCCUUCUGUCUCUGAAUGUGAGUGGUCUCCAUCAUUCUGUCCUUGCUUCUUCUCCCUCUGCCUCACCUCUCUCAUUCUCACAAAUACUUCUUGAAAGAACUUCCAGAUCUCUCUCUUCACAUCAAUGUCUUUGUUAAAUGCCUGCUGAUAACUUUAACCUACAUAUCUCACCAGCCCCCAAACAUACGUAUACUAAAAUAAACUUUUACCCCAUCCUAGGUAUCUUCUACCCUAUCUCAGUCAACAGUAUUACUUUUCUACCCAGUCAUUUAGGCUUGAAGCCUUGUGUUUGAUCUUUGGUUUCUCUCUCUCCCUUAUCCCCGAAUCCAAUUUAAGCCAUAUUUUAAGGACACAUUGUUCUAUUCGCCUACUUUCACUUUGUCUCUCUUCCUUUAGGCAUUAUAGUUCAGACUGCUGGAGUAGCACACAGUCUAUUAUUUUGAUUUCAGUGAGGUUGUCCAGAAGCAUUUUGUGGCCAUACUUUUUCUCUCUUCCUCAUUCUUGAUUCUUUCCCAUUUCUGACAAGAAUAACUAUUUGAACUUUAAUUAUAGAGAUCACUAAAUCUUCUUCUACACAAGUACCCUUCUCAUAACCAGUAUACACUAAUGUGUCAAGUGUAACAGUCAAGUAACAGUCAAGUGUAAGCUGACUAUUGUAAGCAGUGACAUAGCAAAAAUAUAUUUCAUAGCUAUAUGUUUUAUUAAUAUAAUUUGCAUCUUCAAAUAAGUAUCUUCAUAUUAGAACAACAUUUCUAACAUAAUUGAUUUAGAAAGCUGAGGUUUUGAGGAUCUAGUGAUGAGCUAAUGAAUGUAUAUUGAACAUAUUGCUUGAGUUUUGAUACUUUUCUAGCAAUCAUCAGAAUAUAAUAAUUCCAGCCUUUGUGGACCUUCAUCAGAAACAUCACCUAUCAAUCCCUAACACUUUUUCUGCAGCUCCUAUUAACAAAGAAUGAUUAAAGACAACUUCAGUUUUCCCAGUUCCAACCUUAAAGAUGUAUGAUGUAACAAUAGCAUGCUGUGUAGCUGUAAAAAAAAAAAGAAUGUCUUAUGUCUUAUAUGGAAAGAUCUCUGUGUGGACUAAGUUGUUUGUGUCUCCCCAAAGUUCAUAUGUGGGUGCCUAAUCCCCCAGUGUGAUGAUAUUUGGUUAUAGGGCCUUUGGGAGGUAAUUAGGGUUAGAUGAGGUCAUGCAAGUGGGGCGCUCAUGGUGGGACUGCUGCCCUUAUGCCCUUAUAAGAGACACCGGUGAGCUUGCUGCCUUUCUCCACCAUGUGAGGACACAGUGAGAAGACGGCUGUCCGUAAGCAGGAAAAGAGCUCUCCACAGAACUUGACCAUACUGGCACCCUGGUCUAUGAUUUCCAGUCUCCAGAACUGUAAGAAAACAAAUUUCUGUUAUUUAAGCCACCCAGUGUACGGGAUUUUGUUAUGGAAGCCUGAACUGACUAAUACAAUCUCCAAGAUUUAUUUUUAAAUGGGGAGAAAAGGGUGCCAAAAUAGUGUACUAUUGGGGUUAAAUAAAGAAGGGAACAUAAUCUAUACUUGUACUGGCUUGUAUAUACAAUUUAAAAAUCCUGGGAAGUAAAUGAGAAACUAAUAAUGUUGGUUACUUUUAAGGGGAUAGGAACUUGGCAGAUAGAAGACAGGGCUGGAAAAGAGACAUUGCUGUACAUCGUUUUAUACUUUUGAUGCUUGACGUAUGUGAAUGUGCUACCACUUCAAGAAAUUAAAUAAAUAAAAUGUAUUAAAAAUAAUAACAAGAACAUUUUCUUUGGAAAAAGAAGAUUACAUUGAUAUAAGGAAAAUAGUGUUUACAUUGAAAGAGGAUUGCCGAUUAGCAGAGUAAUUAUAGCAGAAGCUGGCAUCUGAUGCGGGCACAAUUUGAAGAUGAAGGAAUUUGAACUAUUAAUUAUAUUAAAUUGCUUUCCCAGUCAGUUCUUUAAUAAUCCCCAUGACAAUAUAGACCAUUCUUAUCAUUUACUGCCCCUUUCUUGGAUCUGCAUUUGCUACUGCCUGUAGAGCUUGAAGUACCCCACAUGCAUGCAUUUGAUUGAAAGAUGAUAGCCACAGGUUCUCAAGUCCUCCCUCGGUAAUGCCCAGAUCGUCUCUGAGCAUAAUGCCUCCUCCUUCAACUUCCCUCAGUGGUUGAUCCUAUAUUCAAGGAUGCAACUUCUGAGAAAAGGACCUAUCAUUCAUUUCAAAGAGGUCUAUCUCCCUUCUGUGGACAAAGAUAUAACUUUUCUCACAACUGCUUUGGCCAAUUAAGCAUCCAGUUGUUCUAGAGACAUUAUAUCAUACUACCUCAAAGAGUUGUCCUUAAAUGUAAUUCUGGUCUUUUCAUUUCUGUUUAGCAUCUAUCAAAGAUUCCUUCUCCAUUGGUCAUCUAGCCUCCACCUAUCUCUCUACACCAGUUGACUCAUUUUGAGUUGUUUUGCCAUGACUGCAAAGUGCUUUUUUCCUGUCUCCAUGCCUUUGUAAAUGCCAUGUCCAUUGCCUGGACCACGCUUCUAUUUGUUCCUUUUGAUGAAGCCCCCCCAAAUGGAGAUAGUGUUUUUCCUGACAUCAUCCUGUAUUUAUUGAACCCCAUUGAGAUUUUCUAUGUGCUUGUUCCUUCCUAUUAGAUUCAAGAAGUUCAGGAGCCAUAGCAUAUUCAUUUUGCAUUCCCAAUGCGGAUAUCCAGUAGGCACUUGAUGGUUGAAUGAAUGAGUAAAUAUACAGUCUGGCUGAAAUGUUAAAGACAAAAAUAUCAUAGUACUCUCUAAUAAAAUCCUAUCCAAUGCUUAGGAGAAAUGCUUCACAGGAGGAUUCUAACUCUGCAUUGUAAAUGUGUUAUUCAACCCCUGAUUGAUUUGUGAGAACUGAAUUCUGUCAGGACAAUUCUCCAUGAGCCUUUUGAUUUCUUGGAAUGCAUUCAGUUUUUUAGAUUUUUUUGGUGUGUGGUUUGAAAAGUCUGCCGGACACCCCCAAACUAAGGUAUCUCUAUAAGGAUCUCCUCUGUUUAACUGCAUUUUAUUUCUAACAUUUUAAAGCAGAGAUGACAGCUCUCAAUCCAGUGGAUUUUCAUCCUUAUCUCCAGAAAACCACAUUUCUUAUGCUUUGUGGUAAAGUAAGUUACAUAUGUAUAGAUACUGCCUUGUGGAAGUGAGCCUUCGGCUAGAACCUCAGAUCCACAUUUGCUUGCCAGGGAGCAAGAGUGACAGCAGGGUAAUCUCUAUCACUUUGUAAAUUAGAUAUCUUUCUCAUGUGUCUUUCUCAAAGAUGCCUUUUUUUUUUUUUUUUUUUUUUUUUGCGGUACGCGGGCCUCUCACUGUUGUGGCCUCUCC